rnacentral:rRNA from 1 species
UACGAAGGGGGCUAGCGUUGCUCGGAAUUACUGGGCGUAAAGCGCGUGUAGGCGGGUCUUUUAAGUCAGGGGUGAAAUGCCAAGGCUCAACCUUGGAACUGCCUUUGAUACUGGAGAUCUUGAGUCCGGGAGAGGUGAGUGGAACUGCGAGUGUAGAGGUGAAAUUCGUAGAUAUUCGCAAGAACACCAGUGGCGAAGGCGGCUCACUGGCCCGGAACUGACGCUGAGACGCGAAAGCGUGGGGAGCAAACAGGG